rnacentral:rRNA from 1 species
CCUACGGGGGGCUGCAGUGGGGAAUAUUGGACAAUGGGCGAAAGCCUGAUCCAGCCAUGCCGCGUGUGUGAAGAAGGCCUUCGGGUUGUAAAGCACUUUCAGUGGGGAAGAAAGCCUUGGGGCUAAUACCCUCGAGGAAGGACAUCACCCACAGAAGAAGCACCGGCUAACUCCGUGCCAGCAGCCGCGGUAAUACGGAGGGUGCGAGCGUUAAUCGGAAUUACUGGGCGUAAAGCGCGCGUAGGCGGUCUGAUAAGCCGGUUGUGAAAGCCCCGGGCUCAACCUGGGAACGGCAUCCGGAACUGUCAGGCUAGAGUGCAGGAGAGGAAGGUAGAAUUCCCGGUGUAGCGGUGAAAUGCGUAGAGAUCGGGAGGAAUACCAGUGGCGAAGGCGGCCUUCUGGACUGAAACUGACGCUGAGGUGCGAAAGCGUGGGUAGCAAACAGGAUUAGAUACCCCAGUAGUC